CGGCCCACCAAGGCGACGAUCAGUAGCCGACUUGAGAGAGUGAUCGGCCACAUUGGGACUGAGACACGGCCCAAACUCCUACGGGAGGCAGCAGUGGGGAAUAUUGCACAAUGGGGGAAACCCUGAUGCAGCGACGCCGCGUGAGCGAAGAAGUAUUUCGGUAUGUAAAGCUCUAUCAGCAGGGAAGAUAAUGACGGUACCUGACUAAGAAGCCCCGGCUAACUAC
rnacentral:rRNA from 1 species